rnacentral:rRNA from 1 species
GACGAACGCUGGCGGCGUGCUUAACACAUGCAAGUCGAACGGAAAGGCCCUGCUUUUGUGGGGUGCUCGAGUGGCGAACGGGUGAGUAACACGCGAGUAACCUGCCCUUGACUUUGGGAUAACUUCAGGAAACUGGGGCUAAUACCGGAUAGGAGCUCCUGCUGCAUGGUGGGGGUUGGAAAGUUUCGGCGGUUGGGGAUGGACUCGCGGCUUAUCAGCUUGUUGGUGGGGUAGUGGCUUACCAAGGCUUUGACGGGUAGCCGGCCUGAGAGGGUGACCGGCCACAUUGGGACUGAGAUACGGCCCAGACUCCUACGGGAGGCAGCAGUGGGGAAUAUUGCACAAUGGGCGGAAGCCUGAUGCAGCAACGCCGCGUGCGGGAUGACGGCCUUCGGGUUGUAAACCGCUUUCGCCUGUGACGAAGCGUGAGUGACGGUAAUGGGUAAAGAAGCACCGGCUAACUACGUGCCAGCAGCCGCGGUGAUACGUAAGGGUGCGAGCGUUGUCCGGAUUUAUUGGGCGUAAAGGGCUCGUAGGUGGUUGAUCGCGUCGGAAGUGUAAUCUUGGGGCUUAACCCUGAGCGUGCUUUCGAUACGGGUUGACUUGAGGAAGGUAGGGGAGAAUGGAAUUCCUGGUGGAGCGGUGGAAUGCGCAGAUAUCAGGAGGAACACCAGUGGCGAAGGCGGUUCUCUGGGCCUUUCCUGACGCUGAGGAGCGAAAGCGUGGGGAGCGAACAGGCUUAGAUACCCUGGUAGUCCACGCUGUAAACGGUGGGUACUAGGUGUGGGGUCCAUUCCACGGGUUCCGCGCCGUAGCUAACGCUUUAAGUACCCCGCCUGGGGAGUACGGCCGCAAGGCUAAAACUCAAAGGAAUUGACGGGGCCCCGCACAAGCGGCGGAGCAUGCGGAUUAAUUCGAUGCAACGCGUAGAACCUUACCUGGGUUUGACAUGGAUCGGGAGUGCUCAGAGAUGGGUGUGCCUCUUUUGGGGUCGGUUCACAGGUGGUGCAUGGCUGUCGUCAGCUCGUGUCGUGAGAUGUUGGGUUAAGUCCCGCAACGAGCGCAACCCUUGUUCACUGUUGCCAGCACGUUAUGGUGGGGACUCAGUGGAGACCGCCGGGGUCAACUCGGAGGAAGGUGGGGAUGACGUCAAGUCAUCAUGCCCCUUAUGUCCAGGGCUUCACGCAUGCUACAAUGGCUGGUACAGAGAGUGGCGAGCCUGUGAGGGUGAGCGAAUCUCGGAAAGCCGGUCUCAGUUCGGAUUGGGGUCUGCAACUCGACCUCAUGAAGUCGGAGUCGCUAGUAAUCGCAGAUCAGCAACGCUGCGGUGAAUACGUUCCCGGGGCUUGUACACACCGCCCGUCAAGUCAUGAAAGUUGGUAACACCCGAAGCCGGUGGCCUAACCGUUGUGGGGGAGCCGUCGAAGGUGGGACUGGUGAUUAGGACU